UACAGAGGGUGCAAGCGUUAAUCGGAAUUACUGGGCGUAAAGCGUGCGUAGUCGGCCAUUUAAGUCGGGUGUGAAAUCCCCGGGCUCAACCUGGGAAUUGCAUUCGAUACUGGAUGGCUAGAGUUCGGCAGAGGGAAGCGGAAUUUCCGGUGUAGCGGUGAAAUGCGUAGAUAUCGGAAGGAACAUCAGUGGCGAAGGCGGCCGCCGAGCCUGUUUCUGACGCUGAAGCGCGACAGCGUGGGGAGCAAACGGG
rnacentral:rRNA from 1 species